rnacentral:lncRNA from 1 species
AGUUGUCAGUUCACUCACCAGCGUGUCUGACACGUGCUCCUUGGUUUACAGGUUUUGGCUAGAUUAAUUUCUUUUUGCUGUUCUUCUGUGAAGUCUGCCCAGCUUUUCUGUUUUAGAAAAGCAUGUUUUUGCAGGCAGGAAAACUCCAAGUGAGACCCUUAGGUGCAGGCACAGCAUUGAGGAAGGGCCUGUUUUACUGCCCUUUUUUCUGCAGUUCUAAGCCAGGGUUUUAAAUUUUUAAAGUCACUAUUUCUGAAGAAAAAUGUGGGGGGAUUGUUUGCCUUUUAAGUCAGAGUUUUGUUUAUUCAACCAUAAAUGUUAGUUCCAAGACUGGUUCUUUGAAAUUUCCAACAUUGUGUUCUAGAAUUAGGAAAAGAAGGCAUUCUGCUGUGAGCAGGUCAGAUAGUUUCCCUGUCAUGACCCCACUCAGUGACGUGGGUCAGCAAGGCAGCGCGCCCGCCAGACCAAGCUCCACGAGGACAUGUGCGCGAGGAGGACGGCAGCGACGAUCGCCACCCACGACCUCGGGGCCAUCAAGGGGCCUCUGCUGUACGGGGCCCGGCCACCCCAGGAGCUCAAGGUGCUGCCUGCCCCGGGCUCGGGGGUCACGGGUGGCCUGGCGAGGGCUUCCAGGAAAUGCACAGUGACCUAGGUGCUCCCGAGUACCGCCGGAGUCAGAGCCCUUGAGUAGGAGCUGGCGCUCUUCCUGGGAAGUGCGUCAGUCCGUGACGAGCGGUCCACACGUGCCGUUCCUUCUGAAACAGUACUCGUCACGAGGGAAUCCCCCGAAUCCGCUGUCCUUUGUUGGCUCCCUGGCUCUCCAGAAGCGGUGGUUCUGUCAGCUGCACACCCCUUUGGGCUUGUGGUCUGGCGCGCUGGCCCCUUGGUCCUGCCUGUGGGCUGCCAGCUUCCCUGCGGGUACAGACGAGGGGCCUUGGGCACCCGCCGACCACA